rnacentral:rRNA from 1 species
UACGGGGGGGGCAAGCGUUGUUCGGAAUUACUGGGCGUAAAGGGCUCGUAGGCGGCCAACUAAGUCAGACGUGAAAUCCCUCAGCUUAACUGGGGAACUGCGUCUGAUACUGGAUGGCUUGAGUGUGGGAGAGGGAUGCGGAAUUCCAGGUGUAGCGGUGAAAUGCGUAGAGAUCAUGAGGAAGACCAGUGGCGAAGGCGGGUCUCUGGACAGUUCCUGACACUGAGACACGAAGGCCAGGGGAGCAAACGGG